CUGGUAGACAGAAGCCUGUAGGUUGGGGCAUCUAGCUGUUAAUUAGAGUUUUGUGGGAUCGAGGCCCACCUG
rnacentral:tRNA from 1 species